rnacentral:rRNA from 1 species
UACGGAGGGUGCCAGCGUUGUUCGGAAUCACUGGGCGUAAAGGGCGUGCAGGCGGCUUGGCAAGUCAGGUGUGAAAGCCCUGGGCUCAACCCAGGAAGUGCAUUUGAAACUGCCUUGCUUGAGUAUGGGAGAGGAGAGUGGAAUUCCCAGUGUAGAGGUGAAAUUCGUAGAUAUUGGGAGGAACACCCGUGGCGAAGGCGACUCUCUGGACCAAUACUGACGCUAAUACGCGAAAGCGUGGGGAGCAAACAGG